GACGAACGCUGGCGGCGCGCCUAACACAUGCAAGUCGAACGGAGCCAAGAGGAGCUUGCUUUUCUUGACUUAGUGGCGAACGGGUGAGUAACGCGUGAGUAACCUGCCCUGGAGUGGGGGACAACAGUUGGAAACGACUGCUAAUACCGCAUAAGCCCACGGAUCCGCAUGGAUCUGCGGGAAAAGGAUUUAUUCGCUUCAGGAUGGACUCGCGUCCAAUUAGCUAGUUGGUGAGGUAACGGCCCACCAAGGCGACGAUUGGUAGCCGGACUGAGAGGUUGAACGGCCACAUUGGGACUGAGACACGGCCCAGACUCCUACGGGAGGCAGCAGUGGGGGAUAUUGCACAAUGGGGGAAACCCUGAUGCAGCGACGCCGCGUGGAGGAAGAAGGUUUUCGGAUUGUAAACUCCUGUCGUUAGGGACGAUAAUGACGGUACCUAACAAGAAAGCACCGGCUAACUACGUG
rnacentral:rRNA from 1 species